rnacentral:rRNA from 1 species
AUUGAACGCUGGCGGCAGGCCUAACACAUGCAAGUCGAACGAGUGGCGGACGGGUGAGUAAUGUCUGGGAAACUGCCUGAUGGAGGGGGAUAACUACUGGAAACGGUAGCUAAUACCGCAUACCAUCGGAUGUGCCCAGAUGGGUUUAGCUAGUUGGUGGGGUAAAGGCUCACCUAGGCGACGAUCCCUAGCGGGUCUGAGAGGAUGACCAGCAACACGGGAACUAGAACACGGUCCAGACUCUUACGGGAGGCGGCAUAGGGGAAUAUUGCACAAUGGGCGAAAGCCUGAUGCAGCAAUGCGGCGUGUAUGAAGAAGGCCUUCGGGUUGUAAAGUACUUUCAGCAGGGAGGCGUUACCCGCAGAGGAAGCACCGGCUAACUCCGUGCCAGCAGCCGCGGUAAUAC